GUGCUCACUUCCACAGCACAUAUACUAAAAGUGGCACGAUGCAGAGGAGAUUAGCAUGGCCCCAGUGUAACAAUGCCACACAAAUUGGUGAAGCAUUCCAUAAAUAA
ensembl:snRNA U6 U6 spliceosomal RNA